rnacentral:misc_RNA from 1 species
CACCCCUCGAACCCCCGGGUUUGACGUUGGGCGCCGCCCCGCCGGGCGCGCCUGAAAGGCAGCGAUGGUGAACCGUGUACCUCCGAGCGCACAGAUGUCGCUACGCGAGGGCGCGGGGAUCAGGCUUCUAGACGGCUUGCCGUCCUGAA